rnacentral:rRNA from 1 species
UACGUAGGGGGCAAGCGUUGUCCGGAAUCAUUGGGCGUAAAGAGCGUGUAGGCGGCCUGAUAAGUCCGCUGUGAAAGUCCAGGGCUCAACCCUGGAAUGCCGGUGGAAACUGUCAGGCUCGAGUCCGGAAGAGGCGAGUGGAAUUCCUGGUGUAGCGGCGAAAUGCGCAGAUAUCAGGAGGAACACCAAUGGCGAAGGCAGCUCGCUGGGACGGUACUGACGCUGAGACGCGAAAGCGUGGGGAGCAAACAGG